UAUGCCGCUGUCAGAACAGUUUAUCAAAUCGAUCUUAAUUGAAGGGAAAACGAGGGUAUCGCUGGUAAGGGAAGGCUUUCUUCACUCGCAGCAAUUUGCCGAAAGCUAUGUCAUCCUAAACAAAAUCUCACAAGGCGGUACCAGACUCAGUGUGGAUAGCCCUCAGAAGAUGUGCCACCACUGGGGUUUGGCCUGCGGAUGAAGGAAACAGGUCUGCACCACAGCAGAGGAGGCGGUAUACCAGCUGUAUCAAAGGGCUGCAGCCAGUCCCGGAGCCACCCCCCCACGGCAGCGUGGGUCAACAGACUGCAGCCGGAGCCGCCGCUACAGGCCCUGUGCAGAAACACUCUGCAGCUACCGGCCUCCAACAUCGCUGAACUUGUCAAUGUUUAUCAAGUCAAGAUUCAGUGGUAUCAUCUAACAGCUGCAAAGCCGAGCCUCAGUGCGGCCAGACAGGUCGUGACCACUGCAUCCACAAAUCAACCAGCUGCCUCAGCCCCGGGAGUUCCAUCCACCCCCACCGUUGUGGCUUCCUCUGUGUUCUCUGCCUCCAAACUGCAGGCUUCCUGGCUCUUCUGGGACGGCCUCUUCUGCAUCUCUUCUGCUCUGCAGUUCAUCACAUGAGGCUGCAGAUAUGGCUGUUGAUGACAGGAACAGAGCAGGAUACCAGCAUGUGGACAGGCUCGCAGCUUUCCUGGUUGAGCUGCAGGAGCGGACGUCUCUCCGCCUUUCCAACCAGCAGGUGGACACCAUCACAGCUCUGUGGGACAGCCUGGACGAAGCUGACAGGAGGCGGGUUGGACGUGCAGCUCGGCACCAGGAGAGACUGUUGAGUGGACUCACUGUCCUCAGUCAGAGGCAGUGUCAAAGGAACAAUGGUUAGAGGACAUGAUUAGAAGGGAGCUCAAGUCACUCUGAUAGAGAUAGUUUUUCACUGUAACUGUUCUUAAAUCAGUUAUGUUUCUAGUUAAAUUUGUUAUUUACAGUCUUGUCAUUGUUGCUUUUAAAUAGUAAUUUGGAAUUGUUUUGCAAUCCACUGUAAAUAGUUUUGUAACAGUGUAUUAUAGUUGUACUGUAUGAUUGUCUAUGAUUAAGUAACACAUUGUAUAUUAACUGAGAAUUGUCUUAUAUCACUUGAUUUUAGGUUUGUUGUUUAAAAUCUUUCAAAGAAAAUUGUGUUUUCACAUGAAUGAAAAAAAUGGAAAUAUGAUAAAGGAUGUGAAUGAGAGUUUCGAUCACAUGGUGCAAUAAUAAUCACAACAAGAAAACAUGUCUUUAUUCGGAACAUUUUAUUUACCCACAGCAUUGAAAUCCACUACAAUAUGUAUAAAAACUAGAAUAAAAUUCACAUAAACAUGUAAAAUGGAGCAUGAUUUCUAAUUGAUAUCUUUCAAAGAACAAGGAUGACAACAGCGUCAUCUCCGGGGAUCCUUCAUCCCUCCACGAGAUGUGAGUAUUUUCAUCAAACCUCUGGGUGAUGUCAUCUCAAGCACAGCGGUGUGAGUUCGAAUCCCACGAGGAUCCACAUCUAAAUAAGUUUUUGGCAUUAAAAGAGAACCGGAGACAAUAAAGCAGUU